rnacentral:rRNA from 1 species
ACUCAAAUGAAUUGACGGGGGCCCGCACAAGCAGCGGAGCGUGUGGUUUAAUUCGAGGCUACACGAAGAACCUUACCUAGACUUGACAUGCAGUUGAACGAGGGUGAAAGCCUGAGGGUCGCAAGACAAUUGCACAGGUGCUGCAUGGCUGUCGUCAGCUCGUGCCGUGAGGUGUUAGGUUAAGUCCUGUAACGAGCGCAACCCUCGGGGUCAGUUACACGAGUCUGGCCCGACCGCCCGUGUAAGCGGGAGGAAGGUGGGGAUGACGUCAAGUCAGCAUGGCCUUUAUGUCUAGGGCUACACACACGCUACAAUGGCCGGUACAAUAGGUUGCCAAGCCGCAAGGCGGAGCCAAUCCAUCAAAGCCGGUCUCAGUUCGGAUUGAGGGCUGCAACCCGCCCUCAUGAAGUCGGAGUUGCUAGUAACCGCGCGUCAGCCAUAGUGCGGUGAAUACGUUCCCGGGCCUUGUACACACCGCCCGU